GACACGACUAGCUCAGUCGGUCGAGCAUGAGGCUCUUAAUCUCAGGGUCGUGGGUUCGAGCCUCGCUUUGGGACA